rnacentral:rRNA from 1 species
AUUGAACGCUGGCGGCAUGCCUUACACAUGCAAGUCGAACGGCAGCAUGGAGAGCUUGCUCUCUGAUGGCGAGUGGCGAACGGGUGAGUAAUGCAUCGGAACGUACCGUGUAAUGGGGGAUAACGUAGCGAAAGUUACGCUAAUACCGCAUACGACCUGAGGGUGAAAGCAGGGGAUCGCAAGACCUUGCGUUAUACGAGCGGCCGAUGUCAGAUUAGCUAGUUGGUGAGGUAAAGGCUCACCAAGGCGACGAUCUGUAGCGGGUCUGAGAGGAUGAGCCGCCACACUGGGACUGAGACACGGCCCAGACUCCUGCGGGAGGCAGCAGUGGGGAAUUUUGGACAAUGGGGGCAACCCUGAUCCAGCCAUGCCGCGUGAGUGAAGAAGGCCUUCGGGUUGUAAAGCUCUUUCGGCCGGGAAGAAAUCGCACAGGCUAAUACUCUGUGUGGAUGACGGUACCGGCAUAAGAAGCACCGGCUAACUACGUGCCAGCAGCCGCGGUAA